UCUUGGCCUUGUGUUUUUUCAGUGUCCACCUAAUGUGCAUAAGAUGGAUGGUUACAGAUGUGAAAAAGACCAAGGUCGCUGCUUCAGUGGAAGAUGUAAAACCAAAGACCGGCAGUGCAAGUACAUUUGGGGAGAGAAGGCAACAGCAGCUGAGAAGUUCUGCUAUGAGAAGCUGAACAUUGAGGGGACAGAAAAAGGCAACUG